rnacentral:rRNA from 1 species
UACAGAGGGUGCGAGUGUUGUCCGGAAUCACUGGGCGUAAAGGGCGCGUAGGUGGCGCUGCAAGUCGGUGGUGAAAGCUCGUCGCUUAACGGCGAGUCGGCCAUCGAAACUGCGGGGCUGGAGCACUGUAGGGGCAGAUGGAAUUCCGGGUGUAGCGGUGGAAUGCGUAGAGAUCCGGAAGAACACCGGUGGCGAAGGCGGUCUGCUGGGCAGUUGCUGACACUGAGGCGCGACAGCGUGGGGAGCAAACAGG